ACUCCUACGGGAGGCAGCAGUGGGGAAUCUUCCGCAAUGGACGAAAGUCUGACGGAGCAACGCCGCGUGAGUGACGAAGGUUUCGGAUUGUAAAACUCCGUCUUUUGGGACGAACGGUUCAUAUGUAAAUAAUGUAUGAAAUUGACGGUACCGAAGGAGGAAGCCCCGGCUAACUACGUGCCAGCAGCCGCGGUAAUACGUAGGGGGCAAGCGUUGUCCGGAAUUAUUGGGCGUAAAGAGCGCGCAGGCGGUUUUGUAAGUCCACCGUGAAAGCUUACGGCUCAACCGUAACGGGUCGGUGGAUACUGCAAGACUUGAGGGCAGGAGAGGAAAGUGGAAUUCCCAGUGUAGCGGUGAAAUGCGUAGAUAUUAGGAGGAACACCAGUGGCGAAGGCGACUUUCUGGACUGUUACUGACGCUGAGGCGCGAAAGCUGGGGAAGUGAACGGGAUUAGAUACCCCGGUAAUCCCAGCCGUAAACGAUGGGUACUAGGUGUAGGGGGUAUCGACCCCCCCUGUGCCGGAGUUAACGCAAUAAGUACCCCGCCUGGGGAGUACGGUCGCAAGACUGAAACUCAAAGGAAUUGACGGA
rnacentral:rRNA from 1 species